rnacentral:rRNA from 1 species
UGAGUGCGAGCGGCUACGGCCGCGAAGUGGGUGAUGUCAAGCUUCCAAGAAAAGCCCUAUACCCGUUAAGGCAUGAUGGCCUGUACCCGAAACCGACACAGGUGGGGUGGUAGAGAAUACCGAGGGGCGCGAGGUAACUCUCUCUAAGGAACUCGGCAAAAUGGCCCCGUAACUUCGGGAGAAGGGGUGCCACCGCAAGGUGGUCGCAGUGAAGAGGCCCAGGCGACUGUUUACCAAAAACACAGGUCUCCGCUAAGUCGCAAGACGAUGUAUGGGGGCUGACGCCUGCCCAGUGCCGGAAGGUUAAGGAAGCUGGUCAGCGCAAGCGAAGCUAGCGACUGAAGCCCCGGUGAACGGCGGCCGUAACAAUAACGGUCCUAAGGUAGCGAAAUUCCUUGUCGGGUAAGUUCCGACCCGCACGAAAGGCGUAACGAUCUGGGCGCUGUCUCGGAGAGAGGCUCGGCGAAAUAGAAUUGUCUGUGAAGAUGCGGACUACGUGCACCCGGACAGAAAGACCCUAUGAAGCUUUACUGUAGCUUGGUAUUGUGCCCGGGCUCUGAAUGCGCAGGAUAGGUGGGAGGCUUUGAUCCAUGGCUUGCGGGUCAUGGUGAGCCAACGGUGAGAUACCACUCUUUCAGAGCUAGGGUUCUAACGGUCACCCGUCAUCCGGGGACCGGACAGUAUCAGGUGGGCAGUUUGACUGGGGCGGUCGCCUCCUAAAAGGUAACGGAGGCGCGCAAAGGUUUGCUCAGGCUGGUUGGAAAUCAGCCGACGAGUGCGAAAGCAGAAGCAAGCUUGACUGUGAGACCUACAAGUCGAACAGGGACGAAAGUCGGCUUUAGUGAUCCGACGGUUCUGAGUGGAAGGGCCGUCGCUCAACGGAUAAAAGUUACUCUAAGGAUAACAGGCUGAUCUCCCCCAAGAGUUCACAUCGACGGGGAGGUUUGGCACCUUGAUGUCGGCUCAUCGCAACCUGGGGCUGAAGUCGGUCCCAAGGGUUGGGCUGUUCGCCCAUUAAAGCGGUACGCGAGCUGGGUUCAGAACGUCGUGAGACAGUUCGGUCCAUAUCCGGUGCACGCGCAGGAACAUUGAGAGGAUUUCUCCCUAGUACGAGAGGACCGGGAGGAACGCACCUCUGGUGUGCCAGUUAUCGUGCCAACGGUAAACGCUGGGUAGCCAUGUGCGGAGUGGAUAACCGCUGAAAGCAUCUAAGUGGGAAGCCCACCUCAAGAUGAGUGUUCCCAUGGCAUAAGCCAGUAAGGUCACGGGAAGAACACCCGUUGAUAGGCUCUACGUGGAAGCCGGGUAACCGGUGAAGCGGAGGAGUACUAAUAGACCGAGGGCUU